rnacentral:lncRNA from 1 species
AUGUUUUGUCUAACUAAAACCCUGAUGGAUCAACACAAGUUCUUCAUUCUCCAUUUUCAUUCUUACCUUCUGGUUCUUACCUUUAGCAUUUAUCUCCAUGUAUUAUGUCAUCAAAACAGCAUCCAACAGCUGAGGGGGAAAAAUAGUGUGCCAACUGCCUGGCAAACCCUGAGCCAUCUGCUGGAUCAUUGGUUCAGAAGCUUGACCAAGUCCUCCUUAUUAUUUGCCUCAAGGACAACUUCCUGAGUCUUUCCUGUGUCUGGCUAUCAGGUAUUUCUACACUGGUAUAACAGAGCAAGCCACUACACUGAAGUUCUGGGCUCGGAAUUUAUUUUCUUCUACUGUCCUGUCAGAGGAGAUGGGAACUUCUGUGCACAAAACCAAAUGAGAAGCUCUGAGCCUGGCAUUUGGUUGCCUCCAACUCAUUCUUACUUAUGCCGAAGGUAAGUUUAUCUCUCUAAGCUUCCGUGUUGCCUGAGUAAUUACCAGUGUGUCUAUGCUCCUUUUGUUUGUUUGUAGAACAUGAUUUUAAUAUUUUCAACUCUUACUAUUCAACAAACAGAAUAAUUAUUUAAAGAUAUAUUUCGUUGUUAUCUCUCCCUUUUCAUUUCUGAUUUUAUUAAUUUGAAUACUGUCUCUGUGCUCUCUGGUUGUGUCUAUGCUCUUAACUGCCCUAGAUUACCACACACAAGAGUAUCCCUUCCACUGACUGACAUGGUCUCUCAGUUUACCAAGGCCAAGCUACUCUGGAUGACAUUGGGUAUUUGUAUCUUCUUCUGUGAGUGAAAUGACUGUUCUUUACCAGUGUCAAGGCAACAAGGUUCCCAGGAAGCCGUGCGGUCAGGUGGGACAGAGCAGGAACAGUUUCAUCCUUGCCAUUGAACAUUUGAGACACCACUGACCUCAUAUUUGGAAGAAUUGAGUACCAACAUUUGGUAUUUAAUACAUGCUGGACAAGGAACUUAUUUCUCCUUUUAAAUUUGUUUAUUCCGGAUAUGAGGGUUUAGAAAAGGAGUCAGAGACAUCUUGAAAUAACUUAUAAACAGGCAGGUUCAGACAACAAAAAAGCUCCUGUCUCUUCAAGAUUAUGAAAUUGGUCUUGGGUAUUUUGUAUAUAAUUUGUACUGUGCUCAUUAAGACACCUGCAAAGGCGAAUAAAAAAAGACUUGUAUCCUUUAAGAUGGAAGAC